CAAGAAGAGAGGGAAUUAUGAAUCAACAUCAAAGAGAGGAAGAAGAGGGAAUUAUGAAACAACAUCAAAGAAAGGAAGAAGAGAGAAAGAAGAGAUGAGGAAAUAGGAGAGGAAGAAGAGAUGAGAGAAUAGAGAGAGUUAUAUUUGUACUCUCAUUAUUUCAGAUUAUAAAUGAAAACACCACUGCUGUUCCGAAAACUUACUCCAGUCACAUUGACUAUAGAGAUGAACGCCUUCCAUCGGUUCUCUACUUCACGGCUUGUGGUUGCAAGAAAAGUAUGUCUAAGUCGUGAUCCAUGAAUUUACUUUCAUUUUUGUUGUUGCAUUUGAUCAUCAUUAUAUGAAUGGUCAUUUUUGUUUCUUUUAUUUUCCAAGUAAUGAAUUUACUUACUUGUUGGUCAAUGGGCAAUGGGCAGUGCAGCCUCUAAAUGGAUACAUCCAUUCUUUCCUGAAUUGUGUGAGCGGUUUAAACAUAUAACAAUAUAUGUUUUUCCCCUGCCACCCAAGGCAGAGGGCACCCUUGUCUCAAUGCACUUGUUGGGUCUUAAGUCGGUACAUGACUCAAUCCUUUGUAUUUUGUUUGAUUGCAAAUGUCUACUUGUUACUUCAUUUAUCACUCAACCCUGAUUGUAAGAUGUAUAGUACCUAAACAAGAUAAGACAGUAGCAAGACUGAUCGUAAAAACAAUAAUGCGAAGUACCUAAACAAGAUAAGAUAGCAACAUGGAUGCAUGCCUAUACAGUUAACGGUCUUGGAUAUUAAUUCAUACCAGAAAGAAAUUUAUUUUAUCAUAAUUCAAGAACUUGAGCUAGGAUACUUGGCUGACAACAAACUGCUCUUGGAUAUUAAUCCAUUUUCAGUUACCAAUUGGAAUGUAUCGUCCAUUUUCAUGUAGACAUGCAAGGCUGAUAAUAAAAUGCAUAGUACCUAAACAAGAUAAGACAGUAGCAAGACUGAUUGUAAAAACAAUAAUGCAAAGUAUCUAAACAAGAUAAGAUAGCAACAUGGAUGCAUGCCUAUACCUUCACUCUUCCUCACCAUACAUCAAAUCUGGCUUGUAUUGGUGCAGUGCCAUAAGCAUGAUAUUUUCAUGAGCUUCAAAAGCGCAUGUCAAAUCCCUGUCAAUUACGUGUGCCUCAACAUCCUGUAAAAACAAACAAUUUUCUGAAUUGAUUACAUAAAAAUACCGAAAGUAACUUCGUAGUUAAAAAAAAGCAUACUAACAUGAGUGAAGUGAUCUGCUAUGUUGCGUGCAGUAAUCAAAUAUUGUACUGCGCAUUCAGAUUGACGAUUCCACAUGUAUGUAUCCUUUCUACUUGAACCCAUGUAGGCAUUCCCUAGCAAGACAUUCCACGGCGGAAUAGAAGCAUUAAUUCCAUGAGAUAGAAAGACUCUAUAUCCAUGAGUAGGUACAACAUAGUUAGCAAAAAAAAAGUGAUUCCCUAAAAUCCUUUUCUCUAGGAGAUGCCUAACAAAAAAUGCCCUUCAUGAUAUUCUGACAUCUGAAGUCAUCAGAGAAUGGUGGUUUCGCAGCAAAUUCUUUAUAGAUCUAUGAAAUAAAUAAACAAUUAUGCAAUUAUAAUUAUAAAAAGCAAUAAAUAUCUACUCAAAAGUUAACGCAAUAAACAAUUCAAAACCCAACUUGCACGUUUGACUCCAAACAAAUAAACAAAUCAUUAAGUAUCUGAGAAAAUGUUCCUCCAAACAGGGGCUGUAGCGCCUUACGUAAAUCAUUUAUAUCAUCAGCAUCAUCAUUCGCUAUAUGAGCAUCCUUACGGUGUAAGGUUACCAUUCUCCUACUAUUCCAGUGGAUCAUCAUUUGAACAUUCGCUUAGAAAACUUAUUUUGGAAUGGUAGGAGAGUUGUAACCUUACACCGUAAGGAUGCUCAUAUAACAGAUGAUGAUGCUAAUGAUAUAAAUGAUUUACGUAAGGCGUUGAAGCCCCUGUUUGGAGGAACACUUCUUCAGAUACUUAAUGAUUUGUUUAUUUGUUUGGAGUCAAACUAUAAGUUGGGUUUUGAAUUGUUUAUGCGUUACCUUUUGAGUCGAUAUUUAUUGCUUCUUAAUAAUUAUACUUGCAUACUUGUUUAUUUAUUUCAUAGAUUUGCAAAGUAUUUGCUGCGAAACCACCAUUCUAUGAUGACUUCAGAAACCAUAAUAUCACGGAAGACAUUUUUUGUUAGGCAUCUUCUAGAGAAAAUGAUUCGAGGGAAUCAGAUCUAGAGUCUUUUUAUCUCAUGGAAUUGAUGCUUCUAUCCCGCCGUGGAAGGCCUUGCUGGGGAAUGCCUACAUGGGUUCAAGUAAGAAGGAUAUAU